rnacentral:rRNA from 1 species
GUAAACCCAAGGUUUCCAGGGGAAGGUUCGUCCGCCCUGGGUUAGUCGGGACCUAAGCUGAGGCCGAAAGGCGUAGGUGAUGGACAACAGGUUGAUAUUCCUGUACUACCGAUAACCGUUUGAGAGAGGGGAUGACACAGUAGGAUAAGCUAAGCACACUGUUGGUUAUGUGUGCCCAAGCAUUGAGGCAGUCAAAGUAGGCAAAUCCGCUUUGAUAAUGCUGGGAUGUGAUGGGGAGCGAAAUUUAGUAGCGAA